CAGAGCCAUUACUUCCUAGGUUUCAUUGGUUGAUUUUUGGCCUAUCACACAGCGGGAGGGACAAAGUUUAAGGAAAUCGAACAGUUUUGACAGCAGCUGUCGAAGAACCAGAUGGAGUAGAUUUUUCUUGGGGGAAAGCAACCCAUCUAGCUUGCUAACUUUGGACACAACAUGCGUUUAUUGAUCCUAUCUAGUACCGGUAGCUCUAAACCUAGCUAAAUAUAUGGUCGAGAAUAAAUGCUUGCUUUCUGCCUCAACUGGUCGAGAUGGUCUGUUAGCUUGAAGUAGCUAGGCUAAUCUGCUGGCAAAUUUCCAUAUUUUACUGACUUCCAGUUUUCUUUCAGGUCUAUGGCCUCUCUUCUCACUUCAUACUUUGCAGGCUAGUUAGCUAUCUCCAUGGACCCUCCCAGGAAGUGAGUAUUGCCUGCACCCCUACCAGACAGUUUUACACAGAGAAGAAGCAAUAGAGACCUAGCAGAAUAAUUGGUCAAGGAGGCUUUGGAUUGAUCUACCUAGCUCCGCAGGAAGUGGACACACCUGUUGGGGAGGACUCUAAUUUUCUAAUUAAAGUGGUGAAUACAGGAAUGGCUGAUGGUGUUGUGAUUACCAUGUGGAUAGGCCUCUGUUUUCUGAGCUCAAGUUCCAUCUGAGGGAAACUAAACCUGAGAACAGUGAGUAUCAACCACUUCAAUCAUUCAACGUAAUGAUGCAGCAGACAUAUGGUCAAGAAUUCAUAGCCUUUAUCCCAC
rnacentral:lncRNA from 13 species